GAUGAACGCUGGCGGCGCGCCUAACACAUGCAAGUCGAACGGUUAAAGCACCUUUUAGGUGUGUAUAAAGUGGCGAACGGCUGAGUAACACGUGGGCAACCUGCCCUCCUCUUGGGGAUAGCCUCGGGAAACCGAGGAUAAUACCCGAUACUUCAAUGUGGCCGCAUGACGACAUUGAGAAAGCUUUUGCGGAGAAGGAUGGGCCCGCGGCCUGUUAGCUUGUUGGUGGGGUAGAGGCCUACCAAGGCAAUGAUGGGUAGCUGGGUUGAGAGACCGACCAGCCAGAUUGGGACUGAGACACGGCCCAGACUCCUACGGGAGGCAGCAGUGGGGAAUCUUGCACAAUGGGCGAAAGCCUGAUGCAGCGACGCCGCGUGCGGGACGAAGGCCUUUCGGGUUGUAAACCGCUUUCAGCAGGGACGAGGCGAAAGUGACGGUACCUGCAGAAGA
rnacentral:rRNA from 2 species